rnacentral:rRNA from 1 species
CCUACGGGGGGCUGCAGUGGGGAAUAUUGGACAAUGGGGGGAACCCUGAUCCAGCCAUGCCGCGUGUGUGAAGAAGGCCCUCGGGUUGUAAAGCACUUUCAGUGAGGAAGAACGCCUGGUGGUUAAUACCCAUCAGGAAAGACAUAACCAACAGAAGAAGCACCGGCUAACUCCGUGCCAGCAGCCGCGGUAAUACGGAGGGUGCGAGCGUUAAUCGGAAUUACUGGGCGUAAAGCGCGCGUAGGUGGCUUGAUAAGCCGGUUGUGAAAGCCCCGGGCUCAACCUGGGAACGGCAUCCGGAACUGUCAAGCUAGAGUGCAGGAGAGGAAGGUAGAAUUCCCGGUGUAGCGGUGAAAUGCGUAGAGAUCGGGAGGAAUACCAGUGGCGAAGGCGGCCUUCUGGACUGACACUGACACUGAGGUGCGAAAGCGUGGGUAGCAAACAGGAUUAGAUACCCCAGUAGUC